UACGUAGGGUGCAAGCGUUAAUCGGAAUUACUGGGCGUAAAGCGUGCGCAGGCGGUUAUGCAAGACAGAUGUGAAAUCCCCGGGCUCAACCUGGGAACUGCAUUUGUGACUGCAUGGCUAGAGUACGGUAGAGGGGGAUGGAAUUCCGCGUGUAGCAGUGAAAUGCGUAGAUAUGCGGAGGAACACCGAUGGCGAAGGCAAUCCCCUGGGACGGUACUGACGCUGAGACGCGAAAGCGUGGGGAGCGAACAGG
rnacentral:rRNA from 1 species